rnacentral:tRNA from 1 species
GGAGGGGACAGUUCAGUGGAAGAGCACAUGUUUAGCAAGCAUAAGGUCCUGGGCUCAAUCCCCAGUACCUCUA